CGGCAUUAACGAGAGCAUAUACUGCAGUCGAGCGCGACAGAUGGGAGCUUGCUCCCUGAUGUUAGCGGCGGACGGGUGAGUAACACGUGGGUAACCUGCCUGUAAGACUGGGAUAACUCCGGGAAACCGGGGCUAAUACCGGAUGGUUGUUUGAACCGCAUGGUUCCAACAUAAAAGGUGGCUUCGGCUACCACUUACAGAUGGACCCGCGGCGCAUUAGCUAGUUGGUGAGGUAACGGCUCACCAAGGCAACGAUGCGUAACCGACCUGAGAGGGUGAUCGGCCACACUGGGACUGAUACACGGCCCAGACUCCUACGGGAGGCAGCAGUAGGGAAUCUUCCGCAAUGGACGAAAGUCUGACGGAGCAACGCCGCGUGAGUGAUGAAGGUUUUCGGAUCGUAAAGCUCUGUUGUUAGGGAAGAACAAGUACCGUUCGAAUAGGGCGGGACCUUGACGGUACCUAACCAUAAAGCCACGGCUAACUACGUGCCAGCAGCCGCGGUAAUACGUAGGUGGCAAGCGUUGUCCGGACUUAUUGGGCGUAAAGGGCUCGCAGGCGGUGUCUUAAGUCUGAGGUGAAAGCCCCCGGCUCAACCGGGGAAGGUCAUUGGAAACUGGGGAACUUGAGUGCAGAAGACGAGAGUGGGAUUCCACUUGUAGCCGUGAAAUGCAUAGAGAUGUGGACGAACACCAGUGGAGAAGGUGACUCUCUGCUCUGUAACUGACGCUGAGGAGCAGAAGCGGGGGGAGCGAACCGGAUAGAUACCCUGGUAGUCCACGUCUUAACCGUUGAGUAG
rnacentral:rRNA from 1 species